CAACAGCAGCACUCAUACACUAGCUCUAGCUAACAGAUACAUUAAAGUCCACCCUGUUUACCCGACCCCCCGAGAAAGGCGGAAUGACACGAAGCGACAGGCUGCUCUCUGCGGAGUGAGACUGACAGUGACAGUGUGGACACUCAGGCCUAAUCCGCAUCAAACACUGUUCACAACAAACACAGCUACAUCUGCGAGCAACGCACUGUUUCGGCGACAUUAUUUCCGGUUUUGUAAGCGAUUCGUGGUCGCAAAUGCGACACAAGAGCGGCAAUAGAGCAACGUUGCGGAGGGAUUUGUGAAGAUUACAGUCAAUAAAGUGCUGCUCCUAAUCCCUGUGUGAAAGGGAUGGGCAGUGCACCGGCUGAAUCUGACUUUCUGCGAAAAACUGGGAUGGCAGAGCCUCCAAUGUCAUGUGAUUGUUUUGUCUCCUUGCCUCCUGGCUCUCGCGAUGACCAUGUGAUUUUUGGGAAGAACUCUGACCGUCCCCGGGAUGAGGUGCAGGAGGUGGCCUACUACCCUGCAGUCUCCCACCCUCCAGGCUCCAUGCUGGAGUGCACAUACAUCCAGAUCCCUCAGGGGGAGCAGACCCACGCUGUUGUUCUCAGUAAACCCGCCUGGAUGUGGGGUGCAGAGAUGGGAGCCAAUGACCAGGGAGUGUGUAUCGGGAAUGAGGCUGUCUGGACCCGAGAGGCUGUCAGCCCCGGAGAGGCUCUGCUGGGCAUGGACCUUGUCAGGCUGGGCUUAGAGCGAGGGGACAGUGCCUGGGGUGCGCUGACGGUCAUCACCAGCCUCCUGGAGCAGCAUGGCCAGGGGGGGCCGUGCAGGGAGGACCCUGAGCCUUUCAGCUACCACAACACCUUCCUGCUGGUGGACCGCAACGAGGCCUGGGUCCUGGAAACAGCAGGCAGGCUUUGGGUGGCGCAGAAGGUUACAGAGGGUGUGAAGAACAUCUCCAACCAGCUGACCAUCGGUGCUGAGGUGUCUGCAGAGCACCCAGAGAUGCGCAGCGUGGCCCAGGCCCAGGGAUGGUGGGACGGAGAGGGAGAGUUCAAUUUCUCUCAAGUGUUUAGCCCCGAGAACCCGCCUGCUCGGAUGGAGCUGGCCAAACAGCGCUACAGAGGUGGCACAGAGCUACUCCAGCAACAUGACGGCUCAGUGACAGCGGAGGUGAUGAUCUCCAUUUUGAGAGACAAGCCUAGUGGAAUCUGCAUGGACUCUGGAGGUUUCUGCACCACAGGCAGCAUGGUGUCUGUCCUGCCCAGAGACAGCAGCCUGCCCUGCAUCCACUUCUUCACUGCCACCCCAGACCCCUCCAGGGAGUUUCUGAGUCUGCCUUUUUUUCUUUCCUGUUUUCUCUCUGUGAAUCCCCCCGACCCCAACCCUAUCCCUGAUAGGUCUAUAUUCAAGCCUUUUGUCUUCUCGGACUCUUCCACCUCAGUGCUGGGGGUGGUCUCCCCACAGUUCGGCCCCGACGACCCUGUCAGGAAGCAACCUCGCUUUCAGAGCCAGGUGGACCGCAGGCACGAGCUGUACAAGGCACACCAGGUGGCACUCAGCACCAUGGAGACCAACCCGGUGGGCACUGAUGGACGACCUAGGACGAGGGUUUAGCCAUCUAUGAGAUUCUGAGGGACCUGGAGUCGCAGUGUCUGAGCGAUAUCUCGGCCAUGCUGAACGGAGAGAUCCCAGGAGAAGAACUGGGGGACUUGUUUUUCGACUCCGUGGACACAGAGAUCAAGUUUUACCAGUGAGGAGCGCCCUCAGGUGGACGUCCCUAACACAGAGUUGUGGGAGAAGGCCUGGGACUGAUAAACACUCUGUGAUCCUCGACUGAUCGGCCUCUGCCACACUCACACAGCACAUGUCCCUGACACCAUUCGAUCAUUAACAUGGUUUGAAUGUCUAAACUGCACUGAUUGACUGAAUGUAUCAUCUGUAUCACCCAGGGAACAAGUUGUUCACCUCAUUAGUGAGUUAAAUGAUGUAGACUGCACAAGCGCCUAUGUAGAGCUGUGUGAAGGAAUUUGGCAUUUGUUUAACAUUUUGUUUUGGUUGAAAAGGAAUUGAUUGUCAUGUGAUGGCUUCCUGUAUAGAAAUAUUUAAUAAAGAAUGUGUUGUCUGUCCUGUG